rnacentral:lncRNA from 10 species
GAGCCUAGGAUGGGUGGGGCCUGAGUGGGAGGUGGGCGGGGCUCGGGCGGGGCCUGACGAGUCCUUACAAGGCAGCGGCCAGCCACGCAGACCCCCUGGGCACCCGGGCUGCAGGCGGUGCCGUCCAGGACGCGGCCGAAGCUGUGGUAGAAGGCGUGCCCCUCAGCCAGGCAGUUGAGGUCGCACUGGUUGGGCGCUGAGGGCAGGAGGAGUCGGUGGGCCGGGGACCCCUGUUCGAGCUCCAGUCCCCCUCUACCAAGCUUCAUCAGGCAACCAUCACUUUGGGCAGAUGAAGCCCAGAGAUUUGGCCAAAGCCACACAUCGAGGCUGAGGCAGAGCCAGGACUGGACCGUAGGUGCUCUGCGUCCAGCAACCUGGGACUCGCAGACACUGUUCCAAGCUCUAGGAUACAGAAGCAAGAAUUCAAUCAGUGUGCAGAUGGAUGGCCUUAAAAAAG